GUCCUAGUGUAAUAGAUAGCACGUUGGACUUCUAAUCCAAAGGUCGUGCGUUAGAAUCCCACCUGGGAUG
rnacentral:tRNA from 1 species